GACGUAGGGCGCGAGCGUUGUCCGGAUUUAUUGGGCGUAAAGAGCUCGUAGGCGGCUUGUUGCGUCAGCUGUGAAAACCCGCAGCUCAACUGUGGGCUUGCAGCUGAUACGGGCAGGCUUGAGUUCGGUAGGGGAGACUGGAAUUCCUGGUGUAGCGGUGAAAUGCGUAGAUAUCUGGAGGAACACCGGUGGCGAAGGCGGCAUCCUGGACCGAGAUUGACGCUGAGGCGCGAAAGCCAGGGGAGCGAACGGG
rnacentral:rRNA from 1 species